ensembl:lncRNA
GUCAUUCGAACGCUGCUUUUAUUCACGACUCAGAGCAAAGCUGAAACUUUUAAACUUUAAUAUUGACUGACUUUCGAGGCGUGUCCAGAGCUGACCGCACAGCACAUCCCAUAAUAGGACGUGUUGCUAUGGGGACAACUGAAAACCUGUUUUCCAUUUCUCCCAAAAGUAUAAAAAUGAUCCAUAACAUUGGAAAAUUCAGAUAUUUGCACAAAACUCUAAUUAAAUACUUAAAUAUAAAACCUUUAUACAAAACAUUUACAUGAAGACGAGGAACGUUGACAUCUCCCAUGAUGCUUUGCUGCGAGCAAGGGAAGUCAACAUAUCCCAUGAUGCUUUGCUGCGAGCAAGGGGAGUCAACAUCUCCCAUGAUGCUUUGCUGCGAGCAAGGGGAAUCAACAUUUCCCAUGAUGCUUUGCUGCUAAUGCGACCCAGGGUUGUCCACGACUCCCAUGAUGCUUUGCUGCUCCACUUUGCCAAGGGUCAUGUUCAGCAGAAGGUCAGAGUAUCUCUCCAGCAGCUCCAUCGUCCUAUCGUCAGCCUCCGGUCGCGGAGGGGCGGAGUCAGGGCUGCACUUCCUGUCAGACAAGCAGACGGCGCCGAGGUCGUUGUGGGCGGAGACCAGCGCAUCCUCGAGGACAGUCGCCAUGGCGACACGCCGCUCGGACGCACACACGCCGGCCACCUGCAGAGAGAGAGGACAUGACGUCACACACCUGGCCCCGCCCCCGCCCUGUGGCCCCGCCCCCACACUGUGGCCCCGCCCCCUGAACCCGUACCGACCUGCCGCUGCAGGUUCAGCGCCCGCUGCACCGCCUGCCGCAACUCCUGAGCAGCCUGCUGACAGAGCUCCAGGCUGGGGGGCUCAAGGGUCGGGGGCUCCAGGCUGAGAGGCUCCAGGCUGAGGGGCUCCGGGCUGAAGGGCUCCAGGCCUGCAGAGAGGAGGACAAUUCUCACAACGCAGCAGCCAGGAGCAUCAGGCACCCCAGCCUCUAGAGGAGGAGGAGGAGGAGGAGGAGGAGGAGGAGGAGGAGGAGGAGGAGGAGGAGGAGGAGGAGGAGGAGGAGGAGGAGUCAUACCUUCAGCUGGAGCGCAGAGGACCUCCUGUAGGCUGGCACCCCCCCGGGGAGGAGGACUGGGCCGGGGAGGGGUCAGCUGAUGCCGCCGCCCCCUGACCUCCUGAGACGCUGCUCUGAGCCUCGCUGUCGAUCAGGACAGCCCGUUGGCGCGGCAACGCCGCGGCUACAAGACACGGGGUCCUCUGGGGGGAGGGGCCGGGAGCGGGGGGGUCGCGUACAGAGGAGGGGAGGGGAGUCUGCAGCUCCUCCUCCACGGGGGAGGAGGGGGCAGGGGAGGGCGGGGGCGGCGCCC